AAAUAUGACCAUGUGCAAAUUAUCGGACAUGCAGAUCAUCAUCCGUUGAAAGAGCAGCGCCAGAAUAACUUUCUUGGACGAGAAAAUUCUACAGACAAGAAUGACAACAAGUACGCAACCUCAAAUUCUCUCGACUCUCCAGAAUUAAAGAAUAUACCCGAAGGGUCCCUAUUGAUAAAAUUGGAGAAAAUAAGUUCCAUUAAUAUGCAGAGGUGCCGCCGACCGUGAAUCUGGCCGUCGUCAUUCAACCACCAACGUCCAACGAAAAGAAGAAUGGAAAGAUUGGAGUAGACAUUAAUGUCAGCAUUUGCUGCCGGUGUUCCAUAUUAUAAAUCAGCAUCUUCAGAGCCAGUGGUGGAUCAGACAGCGAUUUCAGAAGUGGUUUUGAGUCAUUGACAGCUGCUGCAGAAGGAACGGUUGUGGAUAUUAUUCAACGAAGAAUGUCAAUAAUAGCAUCAUCACUAUCUCCCUUAAAAUGGGUAUUAUAAUGUUAAACAUUGAAUAUCGAUACUAUUUCUUAGUUGGGCUGUUUGUUUCUGCUUUCUCUUAUGAUUUAUAAAAUUUCCAUCUUUCCUGCC